rnacentral:rRNA from 1 species
AUGAAGAGGCAGUUUGUAAAUCUUGUGACGCGGAACUGGACGGAAGGCUUGUAUUCUGUGCGCCGCAUCGAUCCUUACCGUAAUUUCUUCUACGGUUCAGCAGAAGCAGCAGCCGUUGAAGUAGCCAAGAAGAAGGAAUCUUUCCCAGCGACGCAGAUGCAGGAGCUGCCGACCCCAAGCAUCAACUUCGAGUCGUUUCCAGCGAUGCAGAUCCAGGAGCUGCCGACCCCAAGCGUCAAGAUCGCUGCAAUAGAUGUUCCUGGAUACACCCUCGAUAUGUUCGGGCUCUUCACCCCCCGCGCCACCAGCGAAGGCAGAAUGGUGUAUGCCAAUACGAUGGGCGAUGCGGGGCUGUAUGACGCCGACAAUCGUAUCCACACCUGCCUAGGCCGCCUCAACAAGCCCAAGGGACACAGACCCAUGUGCCUAUCCGUGGCGCACCCUGACGCCGACGAAGAAGACAGAAUGUAUGUCCUGGAUUCGAACCCCAGGAAGGGCGCCCAACAAUGCUUUGAGGUCCUUGAGCGCACGCCCAGAAAAUGGAGGAUCAGCUUGUUGCCGCAAUGGCAUUGGCGACUUCUAUCCCCGCCUCCCUUUGUCCACCAACCUGGGUACCAACCAUCCUUUAUUACCUCCUUCACCACCAUGGUCGAUGGCGACGGUGUCUCCACAAUCUACAUAUCAGGCGAUGGCGGCAUCGGCACCUACAGCUUCGAGACACCGCGCCACCAGUAUAGUGAGCCUCGAGGAUGGAGUCACGUCGGGGAAUGGAUGCUGCCCUUUCGUGGUAGAGCUCAGUACGUCCCUGAGUUCAAUCUGUGGUUUGGCUUCUCAGACUUAAACCCCAACCACCUGUGUGCUACGGACCUCUCUGCCAUGUACAAUGGACAGCAGCCCACUGCGCCCAAAGUAUGGGAAGAUCUGAACCUGCCUGAGGGAGAGGCGUGGCUUCCAAAACAGCUCGAGCUUCUCCCCCUGGGUGGCGGCAAGUUUCUCAUUGCUAAGACCUUUGCAGCAGGAGAGUUAGGUGGGUACUUUUCUCUGCUCACCGGCAUAGAGAUGAUCCCUGGCGACGGUGGUGACCGACAGGCCCUUCAGAUGGUCAAGCACAAGUGUGCACGUUUUGUCUUCAUGGAUGAGGAGCUUGAGUGGGUGCUCUGA